rnacentral:rRNA from 1 species
UUUAAUUGAAGAGUUUGAUCAUGGCUCAGAUUGAACGCUGGCGGCAGGCCUAACACAUGCAAGUCGAGCGGAAACGACGAUAAAGAUUCUUCG